UGGCCUUGACAUACUAAGAACUUUCCAGAGAUGGAUUGGUGCCUUCGGGAACUUAGAUACAGGUGCUGCAUGGCUGUCGUCAGCUCGUGUCGUGAGAUGUUGGGUUAAGUCCGCAACGAGCGCAACCUUUUCCUAUUUGCCAGCGGGUAAUGCCGGGAACUUUAAGGAUACUGCCAGUGACAAACUGGAGGAAGGCGGGGACGACGUCAAGUCAUCAUGGCCCUUACGGCCAGGGCUACACACGUGCUACAAUGGUCGGUACAAAGGGUUGCUACCUCGCGAGAGGAUGCUAAUCUCAAAAAGCCGAUCGUAGUCCGGAUCGCAGUCUGCAACUCGACUGCGUGAAGUCGGAAUCGCUAGUAAUCGCGGAUCAGAAUGCCGCGGUGAAUACGUUCCCGGGCCUUGUACACACCGCCCGUCACACCAUGGGAGUUUGUUGCACCAGAAGUAGGUAGUCUAACCGCAAGGAGGACGCUUACCACGGUGUGGCCGAUGACUGGGGUGAAGUCGUAACAAGGUAAGCGUAGAUGA
rnacentral:rRNA from 1 species